GUGACUGCGUACCUUUUGUAUAAUGGGUCAGCGACUUAUAUUCUGUAGCAAGGUUAACCGUAUAGGGGAGCCGUAGGGAAACCGAGUCUUAACCGGGCGUUAAGUUGCAGGGUAUAGACCCGAAACCCGGUGAUCUAGCCAUGGGCAGGUUGAAGGUUGGGUAACACUAACUGGAGGACCGAACCGACUAAUGUUGAAAAAUUAGCGGAUGACCUGUGGCUGGGGGUGAAAGGCCAAUCAAACCGGGAGAUAGCUGGUUCUCCCCGAAAGCUAUUUAGGUAGCGCCUCGUGAACUCAUCUCCGGGGGUAGAGCACUGUUUCGGCUAGGGGGCCAUCCCGGCUUACCAACCCGAUGCAAACUGCGAAUACCGGAGAAUGUUAUCACGGGAGACACACGGCGGGUGCUAACGUCCGUCGUGAAGAGGGAAACAACCCAGACCGCCAGCUAAGGUCCCAAAGUCAUGGUUAAGUGGGAAACGAUGUGGGAAGGCCCAGACAGCCAGGAUGUUGGCUUAGAAGCAGCCAUCAUUUAAAGAAAGCGUAAUAGCUCACUGGUCGAGUCGGCCUGCGCGGAAGAUGUAACGGGGCUAAACCAUGCACCGAAGCUGCGGCAGCGACACUGUGUGUUGUUGGGUAGGGGAGCGUUCUGUAAGCCUGUGAAGGUGGCCUGUGAGGGUUGCUGGAGGUAUCAGAAGUGCGAAUGCUGACAUAAGUAACGAUAAAGCGGGUGAAAAGCCCGCUCGCCGGAAGACCAAGGGUUCCUGUCCAACGUUAAUCGGGGCAGGGUGAGUCGACCCCUAAGGCGAGGCCGAAAGGCGUAGUCGAUGGGAAACGGGUUAAUAUUCCCGUACUUGGUGUUACUGCGAAGGGGGGACGGAGAAGGCUAUGUUGGCCGGGCGACGGUUGUCCCGGUUUAAGCGUGUAGG
rnacentral:rRNA from 1 species